rnacentral:misc_RNA from 1 species
UCUCCAAUCAGAAAAAAAUAGAAAAAAAAAUAAAAACAAACAGCAAACCCUAAUUCGGUUCUUUCGCUCUCUCUUUCGUACUUUCUGUUUUUGGUUCAUAAAUUCCUGCAACACACCUAGCAACCCCAAUUAUUUCCAUUUUUUCUUGCAAUUAACACCCAUCCACAAGCAUCAUCAUUUCCAUUUAUAUAUAUAUAUUAUCAAAUUUACAUUCUGAUAGAUAUCUCUUGUUAUAAUAAUCAUUGUAUAGGGAGAGACUGUGAGAGAGAAACAAGGAAGAGAUUGAAAAUUGGUUUGAUUUUGAAGAGGAGAAAAAAAGAGGAUGGAUGGAAUACCGCACCCAAUUCCUCGAACCGUUGAAGAAGUUUUCAGCGA